rnacentral:rRNA from 1 species
UACGGAGGGUGCGAGCGUUGUUCGGAAUCACUGGGCGUAAAGCGCGUGUAGGCGGCCUCCUCAGUCUGGUGUGAAAGCCCGGGGCUCACCCCCGGAAGUGCAUUGGAUACUGGGAGACUGGAGUACCGGAGAGGAGGGUGGAAAUCCUGGUGUAGCGGUGAAAUGCGUAGAUAUCAGGAGGAACACCGGUGGCGAAGGCGGCCCUCUGGUCGGAUACUGACGCUGAGACGCGAAAGCGUGGGGAGCAAACAGG